rfam:Mortierella elongata AG-77 unplaced genomic scaffold K457scaffold_8, whole genome shotgun sequence.
UCGGCCUUAGCUCAGUUGGGAGAGCGUCUUGCUGAAGUGAGGAAGGUCGUGUGUUCAAUUCACACAGGUCGUA